rnacentral:misc_RNA from 1 species
GAGGCCUGAAAUGUUCAUGAAAGGAGACUCGGUGAGGCCUGGAGUUCUCGUCCUUGUAAAUGACACUGAUUGGGAACUAAGUGGCCAGCUUGAAACUGUGCUGGAAGAGAAGGAUAAUGUAGUUUUCAUCUCAACAUUGCAUGGUGGUUGACAUUUAUACUUCACGAGCUUCUGGAACUCGAGUCUAAGAGAACUCUGGUCAUUAAUUAUGUCAUGUACUAGUCGGAUUGAGUUUUAAAAAAACAAACAUAAUGAAGUGUAUUAAAUGUAUUAUGCUA